rnacentral:rRNA from 1 species
UUGGAGGGCAAGUCUGGUGCCAGCAGCCGCGGUAAUUCCAGCUCCAAUAGCGUAUAUUAAAGUUGUUGCAGUUAAAAAGCUCGUAGUUGAAUUUCGAGAUCAAAUUGUUGGUCGUGCCUCGGUACGUACUGGCAUUAUUGAUUUCUCCCUUCUGAAGAACCGCGAUGUCAUUAAUUUGGUGUCGUGGGGAAUCAGGACUGUUACUUUGAAAAAAUUAGAGUGUUUAAAGCAGGCUCACGCUUGAAUACAUUAGCAUGGAAUAAUGAAAUAGGACGUUUGAUUCUAUUUUGUUGGUUUCUAGGAUCGACGUAAUGAUUAAUAGGGAUAGUUGGGGGCAUUAGUAUUCAAUUGUCAGAGGUGAAAUUCUUGGAUUUAUUGAAGACUAACUACUGCGAAAGCAUUUGCCAAGGAUGUUUACAUUAAUCAAGAACGAAAGUUAGGGGAUCGAAGACGAUCAGAUACCGUCGUAGUCUUAACCAUAAACUAUGCCGACUAGGGAUCGGAUGAUGUUAAUUUUUUAAUGACUCAUUCGGCGCCUUACGGGAAAC